rnacentral:rRNA from 1 species
AGGGUUUGAUCCUGGCUCAGAACGAACGCUGGCGGCGUGGAUAAGACAUGCAAGUCGAGCGACAGACCAGGAAUUGAUUACUUCGGUUUGAUUUUCCUGACGAUGAGCGGCGAACGGGUGCGUAACACGUGAGAAAUCUGCCCUUAAGUUCGGGAUAGCCCUACGAAAGUAGGAUUAAUACCGGAUAAGGCCCUGGGAGGGCAUCUUCCCUUGGCUAAAGCUCGGUUAUAGAGCGCUUUUGGAUGAUCUCGCGGUCUAUCAGCUUGUUGGUGAGGUAACGGCUCACCAAGGCUAUGACGGAUAGCUGGUCUGAGAGGAUGAUCAGCCUCACUGGAACUGAGACACGGUCCAGACACCUACGGGUGGCAGCAGUCGAGAAUCAUUCACAAUGGGCGAAAGCCUGAUGGUGCGACGCCGCGUGGGGGAUGAAGGGCUUCGGUUCGUAAACCCCUGUCAUCUGUGAGUAAGACUCCCAAUAAAAGCUUGGGAGGUUGAUAUUAGCAGAAGAGGAAGGGGCGGCUAACUCUGUGCCAGCAGCCGCGGUAAUACAGAGGUCCCAAGCGUUGUUCGGAUUUACUGGGCGUAAAGAGUGCGUAGGCGGCUAGAAAAGUUUGGUGUGAAAUCUUCGGGCUUAACCCGGAAACUGCACUGAAAACUAUCUGGCUAGAGGAUCGGAGAGGAGA